rnacentral:lncRNA from 1 species
ACAAGUGCUAAUAUUAGUGGGCUAGUCUUGUUGGUAGAGAAACGUAUAGAGAGAGCGAGAGCACGACGUGAGUGCAAGCGAGCGAGUUGGAAUGCUUCUAAUAGCAUCAAGUCAUUAGUACUUGUUGGUUUUUGGCUUUUGGAUUAAGGGGUUGCGGGGUUAGAAUGAUAGCGGCCUAAGUGGUGGUUGUUGGAAUAAUAUGAUCUAAGGGGUAGAAAUGGUCAAAGGGGUGGAUAUGAUGGUGGAAUAAUAUGGUGCUAUUAGAAGCAUCGUGGCCGAACUCUAUAUAUCUAUAUAUAUAUAUAUAUGUAUGUGUGUGUGUAUAUAUUUAUAUAUAUGUAUGUGUGUAUAUAUAUAGCAGGGCUGCUGUCCUCUUAGGAGCAUCCCGGCCUCCGUGCUCUAAAGCUGUUUUCGAUGAUGGAAUUUUUGAAUCGACGAUCGGCUCCACUAGACUUGAUCUAGCAUAUUUGAAGUAUCUAAAAAAUAAAUUUUGCAGCUUUUCGAUAUUAUUUAUCUAGCGACCGAAAGGGUUCAAAAUCAAUAAUUUUAAAUGGUUUACAUCUACCGUUUAUAAGUUUAAUAGUGUAGAAAUAUCCAAAUCAAACGAAAUUUUGAUAGAAAAUUCUUUAUACUAUCUAUAGCAAGAUUAUUAUUUUUGAUCGAAAACUUUAGUGUUAUAUCACCAUUUUUUGUGAGAUUUUUAUUUUCAGCCGUUGAUUUUGAACCCUUUCGAUCACUAGGUAAGUGAUAUUGAAAAAUCGCAAAAUUUAUUUUCUAGAUGUUUCAAAUAAGCUAGAUCAAGUUUAACGGAGCCGAUCGUUGAUUCGGAAAUUCUAUCAUCGAAAAUGGCUUAUGAGCACGGAGGCCUCUGUGCUCCUAAGAGCACAACAGACCUGCUCUCUCUCUCUCUCUAUAUAUAUAUAUAUGUAUAUGUAUGUGUGUGUGUGUAGGGAGGGAGGGAGAGAGUUGAGCUAGAAUACUAUUGGUGGCAAAAGGGCUCUAUUGCUACCAAUUUGUUUUUUGAUGCUCGAGCUUUCGAAUCGACGAUUGGCACGAUUGAACAUGAUCUAGACCACUGGAAGUAUCUAGAAAUCAAAAUUCAUGUAUUUUCGAUAUUGUUCUCCUGUGCAUCAAGUGGACACAAAAAUGAACGAAUAAAAAUAAAUAUCCUUCAAAAAGGGAUGAUAGGAUUCUUAUAAUCGAGAUCAAGAGUAUAGAUUUUGUUUUAAAUAGUUUAAAGAAUUUCCGACCAAAAUUCAAUUGAUUUAGAUUUCUUUACACCCUUAAACGAGCAAAUGCCUUAUAUCGAUCAUUAAAAAUAAAAAUUUUGCAAUCCUUUGAUCAUUAGGUCAAUGAUGUCGAAAAUAUUUGAAAUUUGAUUUCUAAAUACUUUUAAGUGGUAUAGAUCAUGUUCAACGGUGCUGAUCAUCAAUUUGGAGGCUCUGUCAUCGAUAAUAAAUAAGCAACAACAGGGCCUGUUUGUUACCGAUAGUAUUCUAGCUCAACUCUCUCUCUCUCUGCCUCUCUCUCUCUAUAUAUAUAUAUGUACAUUUAUAUGUAUAUAUGUAUGUACGUAUGUAUGUGUGUAUAUAUAUAUAUGUAGAGUUGAGCUCCUGUGCUUGUGAUUUUUUAGCCGUUGGAUCGCCUCAAGAUCCGUGCAGUACUAGCCAAGGGGACUUGAUGGGAUAUUGUUAAUACUGUUGCACGGAUUUUGAGAUGAUCAGACGGCUAAAAAGUCACAAGCACAAAUGCUCUUGUGCUUUUAAAAGCACAGGAGCUCAACUCUCUCUCUCUCUCUCUCUCUCUCUCUCUAUAUAUAUAUAUAUAUAUAUAUAUAUUUAUAUGAACUAGGCUAGAAUACUAUUAAUAGCACCAAGUUGUUGGUGCUAUUAGGUUUUUGGCCCUUGUAUGAAGGGAUGUGUGAUUAGAAUAAUAGUGGUUUUCUAGGGUUGAGUGGGUGGUUGGUAGAAUAGUAUGAUCUAACGGGUGGAAAUGGUCAAAGGGUUAGAUCCAACGGCAGAAAACUUGGUAGCACCAAGUGCUUGGUGCUAUUGAUAUCAUUGUAGCCGAACACUAUAUUCCCAAUUUAGUCAAUUCCAUUUCCUUCAUUUUGUCCUAUUUAGUCCAAUCUUGGGUGGUCAAUGUGCUCUAACUGUCUUUUGUGUGUCAUGAAAUUCAAAGUAUAUGGGAGAUUUUAUUUACUAGAGGUUGGUAGCCUCUAUAUGUUACUAUAAAGCCUGUGAAAAUAGCUUCUAACACCACUCUGUACUUCCCAAACAUAAGUGCACUAAACAAUUCUCACAGACUUUUAACUAAAUGUAGUUAGCUUGUUGGAGCCAGUAUGCUAUUCUUAGUCCAUUCAUUAACUCAUUUAAUAUAUCCAAUAAGUGUGAUAUAUCACUGGAGAAUUUCAAGAAGAACUGUAAAGCCACUGUAAACUUUGAAUAUUUUUGAAAGCUUAAGUAUUAUAUUGAACUAAACUAAGAAUUCUAAUAUUAAACUUCUAUUUUUUUUUUUAAACUUUGCCACAUAGAUAAACUAGGAGUACAUCGAAUUAGUUAUUACAGUAUACAUACCAGCUACAUUCCUAUAGUGUUUCGUCCUUGAUUCAGAACUCAGAAGUAUAGCAUGGGCAUAAGCCACAUGCACAGCAUGAAACCCCCUGCACAUGUGCAGUGUUGAAUAUCCAAGUAUAACCUGUUCAAGAAUUGACAGCAUAUUAGUGGCAGCAUACAACUUUGGGUUGCUUGCAUAACUUUGUUAUUACAAAAGUGAUAAAUGUUCAUCUUAUAUAUUCAAAUGCUCUGGUUAAUUUCAUUAGAGAUAAAUAUAACUAUUUUACAAAAGAGUUUGUUUCUUGUUGAAGACUGGCACCAUAUAAUUUUCUCUUAAUCUUCCAUAUUGCAUUGUCGGCAUUCUGCAGAUUAUGUUGAUCUGGAAAAUAAUGGAAAAUAACCGGGCCGGUGUACAAAUGUCUACUCAAUAUAUGUAAAUUGAAGUUAAAUAAGUUGUACCGACUAGAUCUUAUUAGUGCAAGUACAAUGCAAGUACAACGUAGUACAAUAUUGCAUGGGCCAUUUUGUAACGUCUAUCUUUAAUUGAAUUUCUUCUUUAAUUAUUGAUUGGUUGGCAUAACAAUGUCUACUAUGUGGGGUUGGGUGGCCAAUGUGGAGCCAUGCAAGAUGAAAUAUUGUUGCCUACCAUGUAAAUAUGACAUGAGGAACUCUGCAAUAAUGUUAUGUUGAAGUUUCUCUUAUUGGAUUUUAUAGGUGCUUAUCUUUUUAGCAUAACUCGCUACUUCUGAUGUUUUUGAAACUUUGCGUCUGAUGUGGGGUUGUAUAUUGUAGUGCAACUUGUUGAUUUCUCAUGUUCUUACAAUGAUUUUUUUUUCAUUCUGUUAUUUUUCUCAGUGGAGAGGAAGCAUUUGACUACUUCAAAAAUGACCCAGAACUAUUUAAUGUGGUACACCUCUUCCCGAGAUUCCUGUUUCCUCAUUUUUCCUCUGUGUAAUUUGCCUUUUGCAAGUUAUUUUUUCUUUUCUGGAAUGUUUCUCUUCUCUACUAUCUAGUCUUUAUCAAUCUCAGUACUGUCUUUAUUUCAUUGUCCUGUACAUUUUGCUUUAUCUGUAAGUAUCUUGUUGCGAGAACAUCAACAUUGUGGUGUCUAAACAAAAAAAUGCUCCUCAUCGAACUGUCUGAGCUGGAUGGUCGUUCGUUUCUCUGUUAGUACCCUCUCUAGUCUCCAAGGAUUCUCCAACAUAUGGUUGGAGAAUUUGCUCUCUUUUAACACCUUUGCAUCGAUACCUUUUUUUCAUGAUCUGAAAUAGGAUUAUAUUUCAAUUUUCUGUCAGCCUUUUAUUUUGUUUCUAGUAAGUCUAUAUCUAUGCCAUUACAAGCACAAUUUUUGCUAAUGCCAAGAAAAUCGCUAUGACUUGAGAUAUCAGGGAACAAUCUUGCCUAGAUAGUGAUAGGGUCAGGGAACAAUCUUGCCUAGAUAGUGAUAGGCUUAUAAUCAUAGAGGCCUUUGGAUUGGUUCUAGUCGUAGACUGAUUCACUGAUUGUGGGAUUUAACUUAGUUUCUUAUAUAAGGGCAAUCAUAAAGCAAGGUCUUUGUUAUUUCGAAUUUUUUAUGUAGCAAAUAUUAGGUGAUGAUUCAGUAAGCCAUUUAAUGCAAGUUUCCUAUGCAAGUAAUUAACUAGCAAGUUAUAAAUAAUGAAAAAAGAAAUCACAUGUUGAAGUUCUUUUUGUGUCAAUUUCUUUAUCAUGAUGAUUUAAGAAGCUAUGAAUACAAGUUUUGGACACUAGAGUUACAUUUAUAAUCUAUUAGAAAUAACUAAAAUAACCGAAGUCAACCAAGAUGAUAGGUAUAGAAAAAGGGGUAACUAAGCUAGAAAGGGAAACAUUCUUCCUAUCAAGCAAGAAACUGAGAAACUUUUCAUACAUUGUAUAGUUGAAUGUUCAAUGUAAUCUUUUGCCACCUAAGAGUAAAGAUGUCCGUGGACCGGGUCGGGUCUGGAUAAUUAAUAUACUGUAUCCAUACCCUAAAAAAAAAUGGUUACAAAAAAAAUAUAUAUACCCUACCCAUUUAACUUCGGGUCGGGUCCGGAUCUGGGUACUAAAGUUACUAAUAUACCCAUCGGGUCUAUUUGAGCGGAUCUGGGUAGUGACUAUCCAUAUACUACCCGUUCAAGACCGGAUAUGGAUCGGGUUUAGAUCGGGUACGGAUAUCCGCAUAAAUAUAUUUUUUUUAUAAACUUUAUUAAAUAGUCAAUAGACAAACUAUAAAGCCCACCAUAAAAAACCUCGCAUUCUAAUAAGUUGUACCGUCCAAUAAAAUUCAUUCAAAAGAAAUAUUGUCGCUGAUGAUGAUGAUGACACUGAUGAUGAUGAUGACAAUGAAAUAUUGUUGGCGGAAAUGAAAUGAAAAAAAAGGAGUAGAAAACAAAGAGUAAAAAAAUUAGAAAAAAGUAAUGAGUAAAAGAGACGGCUAGGGUUUCAUUAGGACGAAAAUACGUAGUGACUCAUCAUCUAUAAGUCAUAUUAAAAUUGAUCCUUCAACUUCAAAAGUUUAUUUUUUUUUUUAUUUACUAUCGGAUAUUUCAUCGGGUCCGGGUCCGGAUUUGAAAACUAUUCCGGACCCUACCCAUUUAAAAGUUAGAUUCGGGUCGGGUCCAAAUCGGGUAUGGGUAUAAAAUAUCCGGACCCAUACCCGAAACUUUAAUGGGUAAUUUUUUUUAUCCGUAUACUAUUCAUUUUUUAUCGGGUCCGGUUCGGAUCCGGUUCGGGUCCGGAUAGGGUCCGGAUCGGGUAUGGGAUAUCGGAUAUUUUGGACACCUUUACCUAAGAGCUUGUCUAGUAAUAUGUUCAACAAGUAUCAUUUCCCCCCAUACUGUUGGUAAAGGUUCUGAGAGGAAGGAUUAAAUUAUAACAAAAGUUCUUGUUUGUGCACUGCAUUUUUAAUUUUUACUUCAUUCUUAUAGUUAAAUAUUGUAGAAUGUAGUUCUUAGUACCAAGGUUUUAAGUGCCCGUCUGCACGGGUCGUAUCAACCAUGCCGUACUGUGCCAACAAGAUACCGGCAAGAUAUAGACCCUGUGCCGAUGACACAGCUCAAAACCCUCUAUUUUUUAAAUUAGUAAGUAAUUUCCUCAAUAAAGUUCAAUAUGUGAUAAAAAGACAUAAUGAAUAGUUAGAAUAUUAAAUUUUUCAUGCUAUUAUGUGUUGGCAGACAAGAAUUUUUUUGACCGGCACGCAUCGAUACGGCUCGGCACGCAUCGUGCCGACAAGUUUCCGGCACGACCCCGUGCCACAGCACUUAAAUCCUUGCUUAGUACUUUCCUUGAGUUAAUAUGUGCAAAUUACAAUAUGUGAUUUUAAGUGCUAUAGCAUCUGGAGAAAGUGGUCUAGGCUUUUACUUGAGAACUGAGAUCAUGCAAAUUUUGUUAUUAGAUUAUCUGCUUUCUAUCAUCCUGAUUUUUUUAUACUACAUUUUUGGUUUAUCUUGCUCUCUUUUUAAUUGUUUAAGCCUUUCCAAUUUUCUGUCUUUAUUUUAGCUUAUUUUUUUUUUCACUCCCUCCCCCCCCCCCUCACCCUUUUGUUGUGGCAUAUGCUCAUUUCAUGUCCUUGCUGCAAUUCUUGCAUCUCUACUAAUUCUGCCACUUUGGCCCACUUAUAUGUUACAUUCAAUUUCUAUGCCUGGAGUUCUUUUACUGUUCAUGCCUUAGGAUUCAUGCAAGACCGAAACCUUGCUUUUGUUCUUUGAAUGUUUGAGACUUGAGAGGUUCAUUGCCUCCUGCUGUUGCAGUGCGUUAUAUCACUAUGUAUGUCGAUAAUCCUUUAUAUUGCAUGGUUUUGCUUUUGCAAACUUGCUUAACCUAUUUAGUAGUUGAAGUUUGUUCAUACACAAGAAGAGUGGAGCCAAUUGGCAUGGUUGUCAUGUGAAGAUGCCAUGUGCCAAUCCCUAGUGGACACACUUGAUAGAUGCGUUUGGGCCGGGUGAUGGAAAGGAGGGAGGGAGAUGGGGGAGGGGGAUAUGUCGAGGGGGUUGUGGGCGAUUUUUGCCGACUAUUACUAGUGUGCAUGUGAUGUGGUGAUGACCAAUGAACGUAAAGCUGUGUCACUGCAAGUAAAACCAUGUCUAUAGGUAAAGCAUGCUUUUUUCAGCAGUAGGUAGUGAACAUAAGGAUGACCUAUUGCAUAUGCCAAUAGCUAAUGCAUGCUUUUUUCAACAGUACAUACUCUAUUUCUUUGCACACUCACAAUCUUCAUGUACUCUUGUUGGUGCUUUUAGUGGGUGUUAUUGCUAAGCUAAACUUGUUUCAUUGCUGGAAGUGUCUUUUACUUUUAUUAUUUCUUAGUUUUUUUUUUUUAAUUCUAAGUUUAUUGGCUGAAAUUUAGCAUUUGCAGGUGAUCUUACCUUCCCUCUUUUUUUUUUUUUUCUUUUUUCUCUUUUCUGUUAAUAUGAGUGAACCAUAACAUACCACUUAUUAUCCAUUAACUAAUGAGUUUUGAGUUUUCUUUUGUCACGCCCUGGGGCUGUUUUAGAGAUUAGAGUUUGCGGAAAACGUGCCAUUUUUUCUUUCUGAAACUGCCUAGCCCACGUGACGUUCAGACCUGUUACAAAUACACGGUUCCCCUGUCCACUUGGACAGAGUCUUCCCUGUAUUUGCACGGCGUACCAUUUUAUACAACUAGAUCCAAGAUCACAAUUACAAUCCACACAUUCACACAAUUAUCCACAACUCAUAUAAUUAAUAAAUCUCAUAAACAACCUAUUAGUUGCAAGUGCUCCCAAUCCGGAAGCUUUAUUUUUAAACCCUAAGUAAAACAUCAAUUGACUGCAAUCAAAAUCCAUUUUGAAAACUGUUUUCCACACGGAAUGUUUUGAAAACCGACUAUCACGAGGGGUAGUAAACCAAACAACAUAGAUGCGAUGAAACCAAAAGCCACAAGUCUAGAAAUCUCCAAGUACAUAAGUAAGCGAAAAUCGAAACCACACAAAUCCAAGUUAUUAUUCAUGCAACCAUCUAACUGAACCAUUUAAUAUUGAAACUACUAAAGAAGUGAGAGAAUAAACCGGGUAAACCACUAAAGCACUAGCUAGGCCGUCCUCCUGUCGCACCGUGACUAAGUCCCCUUUCCUGCAUCACCUGGGAAAAAGAGUGUGUGAGAAAUUACAAAAGAGGCUUCCCGAUGGGUAACACAGAGCCACGAAGGCAAGGCGUAAUCACAGGAAAAUAAAGGAGAACAGGUAAUACAAGUCUAUGUGCCAUGAUACAAGAGAGAACUACAGUAGUAAAGGUAAUAAGUAUAGUGAAAGAGCAAGUAACAGAAACUACUACUGUAACUGGAAUAUAACAUAUGCCUCAAGAAUAAGAAGCCCAAAUCUGAACCCAAUCUAGUGCCUGCUAUAUUGGUCCAUGGACCUCAAACGUUGCCUGUCAUAAUGCUGGCACCGAUCUGAUCCAUGCGUCUAUUAGACGACCUAUCCAGAUAAGUACACCUCUAGUCGGUGGCGAAACCGACAUGUGUUAAUAGAUACCUCAAAUUGCUAUGACAAAGUCAUGUGAAAUGCUCAAUAUGAAAACUGACACGAAGCCGAUGCCUUGGCCGAAUCCCGAUGCCUGGCUUAUAGACGCCGAACUUGAUUAACCAAAUUAAUGCUCAAUAACAACAAGAGAAUUAUGAUGCCUGGACCUAACGGUCCGCGAAUAGUCAAAUGUAAGCCUGCUCUACAUGUCUAAGAACAACUACCACAAUGCAAGUAACAAGUACAGAUAUACGAAUAGUAAACGAAGCAAUGCCAACAUGUAGAGACGAAAGUAACAGAUAUAGAGGGGUAUGGAUAAGGAAUAGAUCUCAUCGACUAUCAGUUCGAAACACCUACCUGUAGUACCGUGAACUCGAAGUUUAGAAUAUACAGAACCGUUCGCUAGACCUAUAAAAGAUCCACUAAGUCAAGUUCUACCCAUACGUGCCUCCCAAACAAACUAAACAAACAGUUAUAGAAACCGAUUUCCCAAAACCCGCCUGAACUUUCGAAACUUGCCGGAAUGCCUCCGGAACGCACAAACUGCUCCGAAAUUUUCCUAUUCUCACGAUAAGCUAUCUGCUGUCCCCAAACGCACCAAAACAGGUGUUCAGGCUGCAACCAACCCAUUUAAGUAUUGAGGGAUCGAUCGAGUGAGAAUAUGCUGGAACGGGUUCCUGAAAUUGUCGAAUUCGGCUCCGAAACCCUUCCGCCAUUGAUCUACCGCCUCCAACCUAAGAUGGCAGUAGCAACUAGCCAAUAAGGCUUGGCAGUGUUCCUAAGGCGUCCACAUUGCUAGAAUGCGGCCAAACUCGAACCACGUCAGAUCAGUAGAUUUUCCACCAAUCGACGCCGUAGAACCCCCGUUUUAACUUUGCAAUGGCUCCCGGACCUUCGACGAUCAACCAAGAGGUUGCUAACAGCGAUUACAUGCUGUCCGGGGCAGUGCGCAGGGUCCCCGUUCCGUAAAACACCCAAACUAUCCACCUACAACCAAUAUAAUAUUCAAAUAAUGUAUAAAAGCGAGUUUUAGGCUCGUUACGACGAUCCAUGUCGUAACGAACCCGACCAACCUGUCAAUUUGUUUCGUCUCGAGUCUUGAUGCUACGAGACUCGUGCUCGCUGUCCGGAGUGCAAGCGACGACUAGGGAACCUUGAAACAGCAAGAAAACCACUCUUCAAAGAUGUUUCGGGAGCGGCCAAGUUCGUUGCGCAUUCCAAGGCCUUGUUGAAUGCGAUGAAGGUGAGCACCAAAGUUCCCCGGGUCCCAGCGAUGCCGUGCUCACGUUUUGGUCGAUUGGCGAAGCUCCUACUGUCCGGAACGAAAGGUCGGCCCAAGACCAAGUCUUGAACCAGCCUGGGCAGACCUAGGGCACGGUCCUCACAACCGGCGACACGAGAGGGCGAGCUCUGGUCAGAGGGAGAUCACCGCACCCAGGGGAGGCGGUUGGCACCCCUGGCCGGCAAUGAUUGAAAAAGUGCGCCUAGGUGCUGCGCCUAGGCGCUAGGCUCCAAGGCCAGCGCCUAGGUAGUCUCUAGGUGGGCGCCAUGGCCAAGGCGCGCGCCUCAACGGGUUAGGCUCCAAGGCGCAAGGCGCCAAGAAGGCGCGCCUCAUUGUUUUUUACAGAAACGGGUUUGGAUUCAGUUUUUUUUCGUUUGGAUCCAGUUUUUAUUGGUUUGGAUCCAAUUUUUAUGGGUUUGGAUCCAGUUUUUAUGGAUCUAACAGGUUAAAAUAUCUAAAAUAAACCCCAAAACCUAAACUAAACCCUAAACUAAAUCCCUCUCUUUUCCUCUGUCCGCUCUCCCUCUCCUUCCGCUCGCCCUCUCCUCCGGUUUGCCCCUGUCCGGUUGUCCACUGUCCCUGGCGCUCCCUCUCCGGCUGUCCGUUGCUGCUUGGACUUCCUCCCUACUUCUUGGACUUCCUCCUUGAUCGUUGUCGCUUCUUUACUUUUAUCUAUAUUAUUAUUUGGGUAACUAUAGAAUAUUUAUUGCGGUAAUAUGAUUUUAUAGAGUAUAUUUAGUGCUGCUUAACAAUUAUUAGAAAGUAUAGUAAGAAACUUUUUGAUUAUUUACUUAUUUCAAAAUUUUAUGAAAGUGUGCGCCUUGGGCUUUUUUAAACACUGCUGGCCGGCGACGGGAGGUUCCGGCGGCGUUGGGGUCAAAAACCCCAACUGUGGCUAGGGCUUCGUCAAGCGCCGCAGCGGCGGCUCGGGAACGGUUGGUGCAGCGCCGAUGAGCCUCCUGGGACCGACGGCGACGACCCACGGCGAUGACGCGUGGUGCAAGGGCUCGGGCUCCUUCCCUCCAUAGAGAAAAAUAAUGGAGAGGGGGGGAGGCUCUCCUUCGGCGGCCGGCGCCGGCGCCAGGGACCUCAGGUAGGCUAGCGUGGAGGAGAUAAGGGAUUAGGGCUAGGGUUUAGGGUUUAAUUAACCGUAGUCACCUCUCUCUCUCUCUCUCUCUCUCUCUAUACACACACACACACACACACAUUAUUCUAAAAGAAUAGUUGCCCAAAGAUCCUCCAAACUUCCGAUUUUGCGGUCUAUUCCCCCUCCACAACUUUUCUCUCGUAGAUAGGUCCUUGCCUGUGCGAUUUCACGCAAAACAGAGCCCCGAAUGAUUUUAAAAAGCAAAAACACUACGUAUUAAUUGGCUAAUCUACGAUAAAGACAGUUUUUUCUCGAAAACCGUGCAUCAAACAUAAAAUCCGUCAGUGCCAUUGACUCCGGCACAGUCUGACCAUCGAAAAUGAGCGAUUGGAUUGCCCGAAACGGAAUCUGAUUCGCAUCCGAAGGCAACUACACAUAAUGGCCUCGAUCGAAAACGCAAGUUACUAUUCAUUUAAGUGAAUAGUAAUAAUUGCUUAACGGCUUCCUUUUAACUCGUUUUCCGCUGAAAUUCGAUGAGCGAAUAUAAAAUUAAAAUACACAUGAAAACAUCAUUAAAAAGUAUCAAAUUUACAUUGAAAAAUCUGUCCUUAUAUCUUCUGUGAUGUUAACCUUCGAGAAACUAAUAUAAUAGUUAGAAGGACAGUUUUUCAUUGAUUAACAUUUAUUGUUGUACAAUCUGAAGUUUGAUUGUAAGAUUCACAAGCGCUGAAUGCAUUUCUCAUCUUUCUAGUAAUUGUUAGGGUGUGAAGUUCAUCAUUAAGUGCUCUAUCUUUUGUUUUUCCUUUAUUUCACUAUGAGCCAGAUACUAGGUUUUCUUUCUAUUUCUGGUUUGACAAACUCAUAUACUUCUAUUGAUCUGAUCCAUGUUUUUCCCUUAUAAUCCCACAUAUAUAGUUCGUCGCUCUGUCAAAAGUUUAUAAUAAUCUGUGUUAAUUCUUCACAAUUUAGAUUUCACUCUCUACUCUUUAGUAUCACACAGGAUAUCAAGAACAGAUGUCACAUUGGCCAGAACAACCAGUUAAUAUAAUCAUUAAAUGGUUGAGGAGUCACAGUUCUUCUUUGACAGUUGCUGAUUUUGGAUGUGGUGAGAAUUCCUGUAAAUAAUACUUCUGAAGUUGAUGAUUUGUACUUCUAGCUGCAUAUUUUUUGUUGAGAUAGAACUUUUGAUGUAACAUAAGCUUUUCUCUGCUUUGCAACACUAGGGAUGUCAACGGGUCGGAUUUAGGGUGGUUUUUACAAAAUCAAAACCAUAAUCCAAACCAAACUGAGUGCUUUUAGAAUCCAUAACGAAGACGCAUUCCUGAGACAAAAAUUAAACCUGAUAUACUAAAAUCCAUAAUCACUCAUUUACAUUAAAGUAUUUCAUAAUAUAUAAUAUCAAUAAUUAAAAAUAAUAUAAUAUUCUAUAAAUAUAUAUAAAAAUAAAAUACUUAUAUAUAUAUUAUUAUAUAUAUAUUUUAGAAGUCAGGCUACUAAUGCUGUCAAGCACGGAGCACUUCCGUGGCUUCCAGGCUCGUAUUUCGAAAGUCGAACUUUCAAUCGUUCAAUCGAUUUUCGUUAAAACUUGAAUCUAGAGUAUUUGCGAGUAUCUUAGAAAAAAUUUUAUUAUUUUUUCGAUAUCAUUCUGCCUAGUGAUCGAAAUGGCUCAAAAAACACAAAUUUUCAAUGGACGUAAUGAGCCAUUUGCAAGUUUUUAAGGGUGGUAGAAAUAUCAAAUCACGUUGAAAUUUUGAUAAAAAUUCUUUAUAAACAUAAUAAAAAAGAUCAAUAAUCUUUUUGAAUUUAAAAAUUUUUAAUGUUCCAUAUUAUACAAAACCAUUUUAUGGUAAGAUUUUUUAAUUUUCAGCCCGUGAUUUUAAAGCCCUUCGUUUCACUAGGCAAAAUGGGGGAAUAAAUCGAAAAAUAAUAAAAUUAAUUUUCUAGGUACUCCAAAAUACUUAGAUCCAAGUUUAAACGGAGCCGAUCGACGAUGUCGAAAGUCCGCAACAAUCGAUAAACGAGCUGGAAAAAGGCUACGGAAGCUUCCGUGCUUCCGAUAGCAUAGUAGCCUCACUCAUAUAUAUAUAUAUAUAUAUAUAUAUAUAUAUAUGAGUGUGUUUGGUAUGCUUCUGGAAGCACGGAGCGCUUCGUGCUUCCAAGUUGUUUUCGAUGUUCGGACUUUCGAAUUGACGAUCGGCUCCGUUAGACUUGAUCUAGAGUAUUUGAAGUAUCUAGAAAAUAAAUUUUGCGAUUUUUCGAUAUCAUUUGUCUAGUGAUCGAAGUGGCUCAAAAUCAACGGCUGAAAAUAAAAAUCUUACAAAAUAUGAUGAUAUGACAUUAAAAUUUUAGAUCAAAGUUAUUAAUCUUGUUUUAUAUGUUAUAAAGAAUUUUCUAUCAAAAUUUUAUGUGAUUUGGAUAUUUCUACGCUGUUAAACUUGCAAACGGCUCACCACGGCCGUUAAAAUUAUUGAUUUUGAGCCCCUUCGAUCACUAGGCAAAUGAUAUCGAAAAAUCACAAAAUUUAUUUUCUAGGUAUUUCAAAUACUCUAGAUCAACUCUAACGGAGCCGAUCAUCGUUUCGAAAGUCUGAACAUCGAAAACAACUUGGAAGCACGGAGGAAUAUUUUUUAUAACUAAUCCUAUCAAUUUUUAUAGUUAUAAAAAUAGUUUUCUUAAAAAAAUAAUUAUAAAAAUAGACCUUUAAAUGCGGUGAAUCAUUCACCGCAUUCAUAACUUCUAUUUAGCAGUAGAAAAAUAAUAAAAGCGGUGAACCAUUCACCGCUUUUACCAUCGUAGAAUUAUAAUAAAAAGAAAGAAAAAGAAAGAAAGCGGUGAAUGAUUCACCGCUUUUAUAAGAUUAUAUCUACAAAUAAAAUUUUAACAGAUUUAUUUUUAAAAUAAAAUUUUAGAAGAGGACUAUUGAACUAAAAACCCCAGCACGGAGGGCUCCGUGCUUCCAGAAGCAUACCAGCCCACUCAUAUAUAUAUAUAUAUAUAUAUAUAUAUAUAUAUAUAUAUAUAUAUAUAUAGAGUAGGGCUACAAUUUUCGAUGAUGGAGCUUUCGAAUCGACGAUCCACUCCGUUAAAUAUGAUCUAGAGUAUUUAAAACUUUUAGAAAAUAAAUUUCAUAAAUUUUCGAAAUCGUAAUAAAGUUCAUCAAGCGAGCAUAAAAUGAACGGUCAAAAUCAAACGACAUCCUAAAAAUAGAUGAUUGGAUCCUUCAAUUUAAGAUCGAAGUUAUUGAUCUUUAUCUAGGUAGUGAAUAGAAUUUUCUAUCAAAAAUUCAACAAAUUCCGAUUCUUUUACACCGUUAAACUAGCAAGUAUCCCAUACCGGCCGUUAAAAAUUGUCAAUUUUGUGACCUUUUGAUUGUAAGGUAAAUGAUGUCGAAAAAUUAUAAAAUUUGAUUUCUAGAAGUUUUAAAUGCUGUAAAUAACGUUUAACGGUAUGGAUCGUCGAUUCGGAAGCUCCAUCAUCGAAAAUGACUUAUGAGUACGAGGGCGAUCGUACUCAUAAGAGUAUAGUAGCCGGACUCUAUAUAUAUAUAUAUAUAUAUAUAUAUAUAUGUAGGCAUAAACUACUUCGAACUUAUCAAUUGAAUACCUCAAAUAAUUUCAUUAUAAUAUACAUGCAUACAAGCAUACAUAUAUGUGUGUGUGUGUGUGUGUGUGUGUGUGUGUGUGUAUGUACACACAUAAAUACUUACAUACAUACGCGCGCGCGCGCGCGCGUAAUCGGUUUUAUGUAGUUUUCGUUUUGGACCCAGUUUCGGAUUUGCUUCCGGUUCGGGUGCAGGCAAAUUCCAUAACUGAAACCAAAUCCACUGGGUUUUGGAUUACUGUCCCUAUAACUGAAUCCAUCCCCAUCUUGCUUUGGAUAAAACCAUCUUAUUUGUGUCCCUGUUCAAGUAAAAUGUUAGGUUAUCCAUAUCCAUCCAUUGACAUGCCUAUGUAACAUUCUGUUCAAUACUGAUUAUCUUUUAUCACAGGGGAUGCAAGGAUAGCAAGAAAUGUAAAGAACAAGGUCUUUUCCAUUGAUCUUGUUUCCAAUAUCCCAUCGGUAAUUGCUUGUGAGAUGUCUCAUGUAAGUACCUCUAAAUUCUUUUUGCUUCCCUUUCUUACCAUGUUGUUUGCCGCAUAUAAAGUGGGCUUCUGUCAAUGCUUGUAUGCGUUGGCACCAGCCAAUGAUGAGUGAUGACACUUCUCACAAACAUUUUAAAGAAAGGAAAACAAAGUUACUCCUGAACUGAUAUACAACUAUGAAAUUUCUAUUUUUGUACAUGAAUCUACCAAAUAUUAUUUAUUUUCAAAACCAUCAGCAAAGAAUUAGUAAUAUUAGGCCCUGGUUGAAUACCCUAUAAAACAUAAGAUAGUUAAACUUGCUUAUACGCAUAGGUUUAAAGUACCUAUUUUUUUUGGAGUAUAGUUAACUAUAGCCCUAAAAAUGGAGUAAAAUAAUAAUCCACUCAAUUUUAAAUUUCAAAAUUUCAAAAUUUUAAAUUGUCAAAUUUUAAAUAUCAAAAUUUUAAAUUUCAAAUUUCAACAGAUUUCUUCAAAUUUCCUCAAAUUUCUUCAUGUUUCAAAUUUCAUCAAAUUUCAAAUUCUAAACUUUAAAAUUUCAAAUAUCAAAUGUCAUCACAUUUCAAAUUUUAACUUUAUAAUUUUAAAUUUCAAAAUUUUAGGUUUUAAAUUUCAAAUUUUAAUUUUAGAUUUUAAAUUUCAAAUUUUCAAAUUUCAAAAUUUAAAAUUCAAAUUUCAAUUUUCAAAU